CACACACUUUGUUCAGCCAAGAUGGAUGCCAGCGAGAAGGAUUCUGGGAGGUGGUGGGACAGGUGGUGUCUCCUUUUGAGCUUGCCUGAAUUCUUCCGUUUGGUGGUGGCUUAUUAGUUCUGUGUUCCUUACCAGGACCUCGUGUCAUAAAACAACUGAUGUAAAUGGUUACUAUGGUGCCUGGCUAGGGUGGGCUGUUUCAUUCAGUGUGCUGCCCCUAAUAGUACCACAAAUUUUGGCAGCUUAAAAUAACCACAUAAUAUAAAGAAAGGCAUUAUUAGCUCUCAAUAAUAUGUGGGAACACAUUGAUAUAAAAUAUUCUGCUAACUGAGCUCACAUCUACAAACCUAAGGGGCUGUACCGCUGUUGGGACUGGAGUUCUCGGUCGUGCCCGGAAUCCCUCCUCAGUGAGAGCUUCUUUCAUCUUUCCUCGCAUCUGCAGUUCUCACCUCCCACCUUUGCAGGCACUGUGUAAUUAUCAUGUCCGUGGACCACUUUUCACUUCUCCAUCAGCUUUGACAAGAAGAUGGACCCUCUCGCUACAGACUACAUGUCAUUGUUCAUGAAGCACUUGCCCAAUAGGAACUUAAAUAUUAAUUGUGAAAAAGCUGCAUGGGCUUCUUUCAAAAGAUCCAUACCUCUCAAAUGGCGUUAUACAGCAAAGAUUUAUCAAAACAUAAUGAAUCACUGGCAAUGAUAAUUUUGAGACAAAGAUUACAAAUAAUCCAAUUGGGUGUGCCCAAAAGCCAAUUACAAGCAUAAUCAUGGUAAUAAAAAUAGCAAUAAAGAUAAAAUUGGAG
rnacentral:lncRNA from 1 species